CCCUUAGAUGUUCUGGGCCGCACGCGUGCUACACUGAGUGGAUCAGCGGGUCAGGUUGCGCGAAAGCGUUUCCUAAUCUUUAAAUCCGCUCGUGAUGGGGAUUGACGGUUGCAAUUUUCUGUCAUGAACGAGGAAUACCUUGUAAGCGCGGGUCAUCAUCCCGCGCUGAAUACGUCCCUGCCCUUUGUACACACCGCCCGUCGCUCCUACCGAUUGAGUGGUCCGGUGAGGCUUUGGGAUCUGAGCGGAAAGAGCGUUUCGCUGUUUCUGCUCGGAAAACUCAGUCGAACCUUAUCAUUUAGAGGAAGGGGAAUUCGUAACA
rnacentral:rRNA from 1 species